rnacentral:rRNA from 1 species
ACGAACGCUGGCGGCACGCUUAACACAUGCAAGUCGAACGAGAGAAGAGAAGCUUGCUUUUCUGAUCUAGUGGCGGACGGGUGAGUAACACGUGAGCAAUCUGCCUUUCAGAGGGGGAUACCGAUUGGAAACGAUCGUUAAUACCGCAUAAUAUAAUUGAACCGCAUGAUUUGAUUAUCAAAGAUUUAUCGCUGAAAGAUGAGCUCGCGUCUGAUUAGCUAGUUGGUAAGGUAACGGCUUACCAAGGCGACGAUCAGUAGCCGGACUGAGAGGUUGAUCGGCCACAUUGGGACUGAGACACGGCCCAGACUCCUACGGGAGGCAGCAGUGGGGAAUAUUGCACAAUGGAGGAAACUCUGAUGCAGCGAUGCCGCGUGAGGGAAGAAGGUUUUAGGAUUGUAAACCUCUGUCUUCAGGGACGAAAAAAGACGGUACCUGAGGAGGAAGCUCCGGCUAACUACGUGCCGGCAGCCGCGGUAAUACGUAGGGAGCGAGCGUUGUCCGGAAUUACUGGGUGUAAAGGGAGCGUAGGCGGGAUCGCAAGUCAGAUGUGAAAACUAUGGGCUUAACCCAUAAACUGCAUUUGAAACUGUGGUUCUUGAGUGAAGUAGAGGUAAGCGGAAUUCCUAGUGUAGCGGUGAAAUGCGUAGAUAUUAGGAGGAACAUCAGUGGCGAAGGCGGCUUACUGGGCUUUAACUGACGCUGAGGCUCGAAAGCGUGGGGAGCAAACAGGAUUAGAUACCCUGGUAGUCCACGCCGUAAACGAUGAUUACUAGGUGUGGGGGGACUGACCCCUUCCGUGCCGCAGCAAACGCAAUAAGUAAUCCACCUGGGGAGUACGACCGCAAGGUUGAAACUCAAAGGAAUUGACGGGGGCCCGCACAAGCAGUGGAGUAUGUGGAUUAAUUCGAAGCAACGCGAAGAACCUUACCAGGUCUUGACAUCGUAUGCAUAGCUCAGAGAUGAGUGAAAUCUCUUCGGAGACAUAUAGACAGGUGGUGCAUGGUUGUCGUCAGCUCGUGUCGUGAGAUGUUGGGUUAAGUCCCGCAACGAGCGCAACCCUUACUGUUAGUUGCUACGCAAGAGCACUCUAGCAGGACUGCCGUUGACAAAACGGAGGAAGGUGGGGAUGACGUCAAAUCAUCAUGCCCCUUAUGACCUGGGCCUCACACGUACUACAAUGGCUGUCAACAGAGGGAUGCAAAGCCGCGAGGUGGAGCGAACCCCUAAAAGCAGUCUUAGUUCGGAUUGUAGGCUGCAACCCGCCUACAUGAAGUCGGAAUUGCUAGUAAUCGCAGAUCAGCAUGCUGCGGUGAAUACGUUCCCGGGCCUUGUACACACCGCCCGUCACGCCAUGGGAGUCGGUAACACCCGAAGCCAAUAGUCUAACCGCAAGGAGGACGCAGUCGA